rnacentral:rRNA from 1 species
GAUGAACGCUGGCGGCGUGCUUAACACAUGCAAGUCGAACGGUGAAGCAGGAGCUUGCUCUUGUGGAUCAGUGGCGAACGGGUGAGUAACACGUGAGCAACCUGUCCCUGACUCUGGGAUAAGCGCUGGAAACGGCGUCUAAUACUGGAUAUGUGAUGUGACCGCAUGGUCUGCAUCUGGCAAGAAUUUCGGUUGGGGAUGGGCUCGCGGCCUAUCAGCUUGUUGGGGAGGUAAUGGCUCACCAAGGCGUCGAAGGGUAGCAGGCCUGAGAGGGUUAGCGGACAAACGGGGACUCAGCCACGACCCAGACUCCUACGGGAGGCAGCAGUGCGGAAUGUUGCACAAUGGGCGGAAUCCUGAUCCAGCAACGCCGCGUGAGGGAUGACGGGCUUCGGGUUGUAAACCUCUUUUAGCAGGGAAGAAGCGAAAGUGACGGUACCUGCAGAAAAAGCACCGGCUAACUACGUGCCAGCAGCCGCCGUAA